GUUCCUACGGGACGCAGCAGUGAGGAAUAUUGGUCAAUGGGCGGGAGCCUGAACCAGCCAAGUCGCGUGAAGGAAGAAGGUACUUAGUAUUGUAAACUUCUUUUGUCGGGGAACAAAGGCGGAGACGCGUCUCCGGAUGAGUGUACCCGAAGAAAAAGCAUCGGCUAACUCCGUGCCAGCAGCCGCGGUAAUACGGAGGAUGCGAGCGUUAUCCGGAUUUAUUGGGUUUAAAGGGUGCGUAGGCGGGCUGUUAAGUCAGCGGUCAAAUGUCGGGGCUCAACCCCGGCCUGCCGUUGAAACUGGCG
rnacentral:rRNA from 1 species